GCCUAACACGAUGCAAGUCGAGCGAGGAGAUCCUUCGGGAUGAUCCUAGCGGCGGACGGGUGAGUAACACGUGGGCAACCUGCCUCAUAGAGAGGAAUAGCCUUCCGAAAGGGAGAUUAAUACCUCAUAACAUUGCAGUUUCGCAUGGAACAGCAAUUAAAGGAGUAAUCCGCUAUGAGAUGGGCCCGCGGCGCAUUAGCUAGUUGGUGAGGUAACGGCUCACCAAGGCGACGAUGCGUAGCCGACCUGAGAGGGUGAUCGGCCACAUUGGGACUGAGACACGGCCCAGACUCCUACGGGAGGCAGCAGUGGGGAAUAUUGCACAAUGGGGGAAACCCUGAUGCAAGCAACGCCGCGUGAGUGAUGACGGCCUUCGGGUUGUAAAGCUCUGUCUUCAGGGACGAUAAUGACGGUACCUGAGGAGGAAGCCACGGCUAACUACGUGCCAGCAGCCGC
rnacentral:rRNA from 1 species